UUAAUUGAAGAGUUUGAUCAUGGCUCAGAUUGAACGCUGGCGGCAGGCCUAACACAUGCAAGUCGAACGGUAACAGGAUGUGCUUGCACAUCGCUGACGAGUGGCGGACGGGUGAGUAAUGCUUGGGAACUUGCCUUUGCGAGGGGGAUAACAGUUGGAAACGACUGCUAAUACCGCAUAAUGUCUUCGGACCAAACGGGGCUUAGGCUCCGGCGCAAAGAGAGGCCCAAGUGAGAUUAGCUAGUUGGUAAGGUAAUGGCUUACCAAGGCGACGAUCUCUAGCUGGUUUGAGAGGAUGAUCAGCCACACUGGGACUGAGACACGGCCCAGACUCCUACGGGAGGCAGCAGUGGGGAAUAUUGCACAAUGGGGGAAACCCUGAUGCAGCCAUGCCGCGUGUGUGAAGAAGGCCUUCGGGUUGUAAAGCACUUUCAGUUG
rnacentral:rRNA from 1 species